rnacentral:lncRNA from 1 species
AUCAUUUCCUCGUGGAAAUGCAAUCAGACCGAGACGCUAAGGCAGAAGAACUACUGUGUCUACAGUGCAAAUUAAAUAAUAUGGUCUCCGUACAAACAAGUGGCUGCUGGAACAGAGUAGGUGAGUUGUGUUUAGUCUCUUUGCUAAAGAAAUGAGUCAAAGUUAAAAAGAUGUUUGGUGGCUAGUGCUAUGUCUGUGACCCUAUAUGUCCUGUUGAUGAAGUUAGGUGCUGUUCUGAGCAUUAUUUGUGACUAUAGAGUGGCGUUUUGGUUGAGCACGUGCCUCUCUGUAUUGCUAUCCUGCGGUCGUUAAUAAAGUUGGAAUAACUAGAGAAGCAAGAGGUCGGCAACAUUCAUCUCUCGACGGGGUGUCUAACUCGGUGUUACAGUGUGUUUGACCCUGACUUCAUUUCACGCCUGAAUAUCCCUUUAAUGUAACUCUGUAUGCAUCCAUUCAUUCCCUUCCACUUAUUUGAUAUUGGGUUGAGGCUGCAGUAUGUUACGCAAGGGGACCCUGACAUCCCCUUCCUAUCUACAUUUUCCAGCUUCUCUUUGGUUAUUCCACGGUCUUACCGCCCCAGAUGGACUGUCUUACCUCUCAGCAAGUUUUGGGUCUACCUUCAGGUCUCCUUCCAGUCCCAUGUCUCUGAAAAACCUCUCUGAGGAAGCAUUUGCGUAUUACUGGGCUCCAGGAUAUAUUCAAAAUAGCUGUUUUCGUACCCUUGAAUGACCAUAUCAGAACAGUGAGUCUGGUUGCAUAUGGUUCAGUUAGCUUUUUUAGCAGUAUCUAUUACAUAACUAGAUAAGAGCCUCUCACAGUAGCUUUAACAACAGGACUCUUCAACCUACUUCUGUGGCCAUUGUCUUUUUUUUUUUUAGCAACUUUUGAAGAGUGUUACUUUAAUGAGCUUUGUUUGUGUUUGUUUCUAAUAUUUCUGCUCGUUAAACAGCACCAACAAAGUGGAGAUCCAGCUUUCAAACUGGGACGAGGGUUUGCUCUACUUCUUGUUUCCAAUUAUAAAUAAUGUUGGGUUUUGAGCAAACAUGUUUCCACAUGCAUUGAGGUUUCUUUUGUCAGUUUUUGCUCUUCUCUAUCAUCCUGUCACAGUUAAAGGAUGACUCAGCUAACUGCCAGAUGUGAGGACGGCACUGUCCCUCUUUUGUUCCUCCCGAAGAAGACCUCUGCAUUCGUAGCCUCAUUAUACGUCUUAAUGACUCCACUGCAGCUAUCUCUGCGAAGGCGUGCUAAAGGUCAGAUCAGCAUCUUAAUGCGCCGUCCUCCUGCCUUCUGACCCACGUGCAAACCUCGGUCACUCAGAUCAGACAUGUUCGGUAGCCUGUAGAACAUAUCAGUCGAUCCUAAUGAAAUCACAGAUCCUUUGAUUCAACUUUGACAUUUAGUUUGAGCACCCGUUGCAAAGAUCACUACUGGCAAAUGAGCUUCUCAUCUUCAAGCUUUGUCAUGUUCCUGGUGUGAAUGCUGCAGUCGUCAUGCAGAUUUAAAGAAGUCUAGAUGGAGAGACAGAGUUUGACAGAAUUCGUAGGUCUUCUUGGACUGAAAGGGUCUCAGACUGAAAUCUUCCGGUGUUUCUUGCCUUUAAAAGUUCCCCACAGUAUCGAUAAAUUCUUAGACGCUAUAUGAAAUGAAAAUGGAAAUGAAAUGCAAAGCCACUCAAGGUUUCAGCAGGUUUUCAUCAGCUGGCAUCAGGUCAGAUGGCUGUAUUAGAUCUGCGCUCUACCAAAUGGGGUUCUGACUGGAUCAUUGCUCGCUCCCUUUGGUCUCUAAUGGAUGAAUUACAUUGCUUUCAUGACUUCCAGAUCUAUUUCUCUGAGUCUCUCUGAGAAUAAUUGGUGGAGUUCUGAACUUUCCGGGUGUUUACAUAAAAAGCUUUUGUAUUAUUUAUAAUCGGAGGCUAAAUCACACAGGCAUGCACACACACAGUUUAGUAGUUGAAUUACUCUCUGUCGGCUUGUCGCCCAGCCGGGGUUUCAGACUCAGUAAAAUAAGGAAUGGAGCUUCCUUUCCUUACCUCAGAGCCUCGCUGCCACUCCAGCACAGUAAUUACCUCGUCCUUCUUUACUGCUAAUGAGAAGGUAAAAUAUGAGCUUCUGGCAACUGCAGUCAUUUGCGACCCUGGCUCGCUCCUGGCAGGAGUGGAGAGGGAGAAGGAGAGAGACUAAUUUCUACCCAGAAGCCACCUCUGAAUGGUGCCAUCCAUCCUUAACCCACCUGUACAAGUUAUCCAGGGUUACCCCAGGUCUGUGUCUGGAUAAUGUUACACUGAGUUGGAUGAGCAGUUUGCUGGAGUGAGCACUUUCUUGGGUAAAUGAAAACAGUCAGACUCUUGAUACUUCCCGACAAACUAUAGCCUCUUAGAAAAGAUCAUAGAGUGGGUGUUCUGGGUUAGGUUUUCAUUACUGUAGUACUGUGAUAUAGAAAGUACUAGUGUUACAUCAAUCACUGCCUUUUGAACCUGUCUGCUAAGGCUUGCAGUUUGGUGUCAUGGUGUUUGGGACUGGUGAUUCGUUUUAGACACUGUACACUCUAAAAACUCUUGGGUUAUUUCUUCAACCCAAUUCCUGGGUUAUAUGUGUUGAGUUAAAUUUCUUGGUUAUUUUUCAGAUCCAUACCCAUUUCGCGGGUCAUAUGGAUUCUAUCGUAACCCAAUUUGAGCGUUUUUUAAAUGGGUUAAUAAUUAUGGGUUAUUUUUCUGAAAGUAACCCAAUGAUUGGGUCAGAACGCUGGGUUCAAUGGACUCUACGUGGUUCCUAGGCCUAAUGGCAAUUAAAGUGACCUUGUGAAAUUUGACCUUGAUUUGGGGUUGGAAUCCCUCAUGAGACACAUCUGUAAGGAGCAAACUACAUCCACCAGUUUGGGUCCUUAGGUAAGACCCUUAACGCUAUGGCCUACAACCAGAUAGAUAAAAGUACAUGGGAAAAUAUGGUACAGGUUGUAAAAGCUAAGCUCCCCAAAUGCAUCUAUCAAUCUAUCCCAAGAUCAUGAGUCAAAUUAACUUAAACAUUUAAACAUUGGGUUAACUUGACUCUUAAAAAGGGUUAUUGAGUCAACCCAAAAUUUGGGUUAAUUUGAUUAACCCAACAUUCUGGGUCAAAAUAACCCAACAAGUAGUUGGUCCUUUUUCAACCCUGGUGUUAACCCAGGGGUUUUUAGAGUGUAACAUCAACUAUAAGCUUUUGAACCCACUUAAGAGUUUUUGAGUGUUGAUGGUGAUCACUUUGAGGUCAACCUUAAGUUUUUUUAAACCCUCCUCUCAAGAUAAGACAUUGGUUUUUUGGUGUUUUGUUGAUAGAGAUUGAGUUGUCAACAUUUUGCUUUUGAACCCUUAAAGCGUCUUUGGUGGUAUUUUGGGUGGUACUGUGGUAGAAGUCAGUUUUGCAUCAACCAGCUGUUAAACUGACCUGGAGUUUGGUAACUUAGACUCAACGUCUUUAGUCUGGUGGUAGCUAUCUCAAGGUCAAAUCUGAGCCUUUGAACUUUCUUCUUAAAACCUGGAGUAAAUGAGUUUAAUUUUGGUGAUUUAAGUUAGCUUUUGAACGCCCCAUUUGAAGUCUGUAGUUGGUGGUUUUUGAGAUGCUCCUAAAGUUUGCAUCAUUAGCUUUUAAAUGUGUUCAGGAGCUUGAUACUGGUUGGUUUUGGUGGUGUGUUUCAUUCGCUUCCUCCUCCUCUGCUUUUAAACCCAUCUUUUUUUGGGGGGUGAAAGCAACUCUAGCUUUGUUCUGGACUUUUGAGCCUCCCUUUUUGAAGCUUUAAGUUCGGCAUUGUUGCAUUUCAGAGGUAUUUUGGCGGUAACUUGUCAACGGCCAAUUAUUCACUUUUUAAACUUCCUGUUUCAAAGCUUGGUGUGCGUUCUUUUGGUGUUGUUACAGUGGUAGCAGCAUUGAUCUGAACCCUUUAAUUAUAGCUGUAUGACUGGCUUUUUUGGCAUCAACCAUUAGCUUUUGAAUCUCAUAUUUAAAGCUCAGUGUUUGGUAGUUCUGUGGUUGUGUUUAGAACCAUAGUUGGCCAUUUCUGAUCCCUGAUUAUUGUUUUAUUUCAGAUUACAGGCCACCCGAGUUCCAAUUUGCUAAUUAAAACUGUAUACAAACACCAAGCUUGUUAUUUUACUGUAAAUUGUACCAUUUAUUACAAAGUGACAAUAAUCCUGCUUUGUCAGAACAAAUCUUGAUUGAUUUUUUUCAAUAGUUGGGAAAUUAGAACCAUUUUCUGGUCUGGUUUAGACAAUUUUGUCUUCCUUUCUGCUGGCUGUUAUAAAUAAUGCAGAUUUGAAGCACUUGUGUGUGGUCCUCAGUUUGAAAAACAGAGGUGAUAUGCUGAGUUAUGAUUUCAAAGUGAACUUUAACUCUUCUUUAGUGACUCACAACAUUAGGAUCCCUCUCAUGACCUUCUUCUGUGAUCUUUCCUUCACUUCCAUGCCCACAUGCUAACACAAAAAAGUCAGACUCUUUUAAGGGUGUAAUAAAACUCAGCGUGAUUUAAGAGCUAUGCUAGAUGACCCCAAUGUGUGAAUUUGACAGAAAUGUGAUCUCUCAAAGGCACCUUUCACCUCCUAUCAGCAACAAAACAUGAACAUUCAAACACCAUCAAAAUGAAAUGCACGCUUUAUGGGCCUGUAAGACUCUUUAUUCACCAGGCGAUCUAUAUUUCCAUGUCAUCGCCGCUCUCCUCUAUUCCAUUAUCAUUUUUUAUCUGAUAGGAAACAAAUCAAGGGUUUCCCAGUGUCAGGAACAAAAGCCAUUUUUGUGUUGAAGGUUAUAGAAAAGCAUCGUCACGUAAGGGAAAUGAUUAUAUUGGUGCCCUUCGGAUAGACUCCAAUGUCACACAUGAGGAGACAAAGAAUUUCAUCACACAGGCUGAGCUUUUUUGCUUUUUUUUUUUGACAGCAAUCAGAUCCAUUUUAUUCUCUUUGUGGGGCUUCGUAUUUGCUAUAAAAUCUUAGAGAUUGACUCCAAAACCUUACCACAGGGGUGAAAAAAUCCUAUUAGAUUGAAAACAGCAAGAGACGUAAAAAAAAAAAGAGAAAAAAAUCGUAUUAGCAAUAAUAACAGAUUGCAGAAUUCACUGCGUCUGGGAUGACUAUUUUAGUGAAAAUGAUACAGCCAGGGUAUGAGAAAUUAAACCCAUUUCAGAGGGUGGUGUCAAUGCUGAUGUUUACUGGUUUUACAGACACUUCCAUUAGAAAACCAUUAGCAAGGCGAUUACUAUGAUUAACUCAAAAUUGACCCACUGCGUCCAUUCACUAAUCCCACUGACCAUAAUGCAAUGCAGUUACCAUAUGACUCGUUUCGGAGCAUUUAAGUGGAUGAACUUUGCACCCCGGUCCUGCUGGAGUUAUCGGGGGGGAUUAACUGGGGUUAGAAACCAAAGAUUGGAAGAUGUACCAUGUCAAUACGAUGUUAUUGCAAUAAAACUGAUUGGCCUGACCUCUGCGCUUCGACAAGAGGAGCUUCGUUCAGCCGGGGCAAUUACAGCCAGAUAACAGGCGGCUGAAUGAAAAUGUUACAGGAGCUCUCUCAGCUGUUAUCAGUCUUAAUUUAGGCAGACUUUUGGGUCAUGGUUCACCUUUAAGAGGUCAAGAAAUCAAAAUCUAUUAAUUCUACACAAUAAUAAUAAUAAUAAUGUAGAAAAUUUUGUAAAAUAUUACCUGAUUUCAACUGAUUACAAGCAAACCCAAUUGUGUUGCUAUAAAUCUCUAAGUUCUGUAAAACUGAUUUUUUUUUUUUUUUUCUUGUCUGCACAAGAUAAAAUCUUGAAAUUAUUUGUCUCGGUGCAAAGAUUCAGCAAUAACAUCGAAAACAGUAUUUGCUCAAAUAAAACUAGAAAAUUCUUGUGAUAAAUGGCGUCAAAUUGAAAACGGAUGGCCAACAAGAUAACUAUCUUGUGAACACAGGAUGAUAAUUUGUUUUGCACAGUAGUUAGACUUGCAUUUGAGCUGAUAAUCUCCUCCCAUUGAAUAAUUUUCUUAUCUGCAAUAGAUGUUUUUACCUUAAUAAUGUUAUCUUGCAAAAUUGCAUUCAAAAUCAUCCAACAUGAUGAUUGUCUUGUGUGAACAAGCUAACUUGUUCCAUUUACGUAUCCAUCUUUUCUACAUAAUACGAUGACUUUUCCCACAAGUUAUUCCGUGAUCCAACUGAUCUGUGCUCACAAGAUAAAAAAUAGUCUUUAUGUGAUCAUUUUCUUUUGUGCACAGGAUAACUUAUGGUGGGUUCCAGUUACCUCUGUCGUUGGAUGUCAGGGAACGGGAAUGGGAAUGACGCUGCACCCGAGUUGACGGCGUUCCAGUUAACAAGUGGGUAAACCAAGAUGGAUGCAAACAGUUAGCGGUUGUUAGCUGUUGGUUACAAUUGUCAGCUGUUGUUGGCUGAUGUCAGUUGUUAUUGAUACCAGUUGUAAACAACGCAUAACACAGUAUUUUACUCUUACAAACACCAUAUCAAUCAUAUGGGCAGUACAACAUAAACCACGUAUUCAAUUUCCCAAAAACAAAACAAAAGUGCUAAUAAAUAAUACAUUAUGAGAGCUUUUACUGUUACUCUUUGCUGUUGAUGCACUGUGCUGCCAUCUUGAAUUAUGACGUUGUCGUCAAGUCAGGGUUGGUGAGGAUUGUCCAACUUUCUGAAUUGGAAAUCCGACUUCAAGGGGACAUUCCAGAUGAAUUUCCAACUCGGAGCUCGGAAAUCCCAAUGAGUACAACUGGAACGCAAGGUUAUUCCUGAAGAUAGUUCUGAUGUGUGCCCAAGAUGAUAACCUGUUCCAACAAGACAACGAUCUUUGAUAUUGGCAUUUCAGUAUUCUACUUUAGCCUAGAGGCACCAGAGGAAUCCAUCAUGUUUUCUGGUGGUUGAAUUUAGCAUCAGUUUCCAGCUAGUAUCAUGCAACAUUGUUUGCUAAUGUUUGUCAAAGUCUUACAGUGACAAAUUUCUGAACAUUUGUUAUAAAUUCUGCAGCUUAAUUUCUUUAUUUGUAGGAUUUUGAGAUUGUAUUUGACAUGUUUCCAGUAGGUCUGGAUGAAGUGGUGAAUGUUUUCCUCACAACAGCUGUUCCAUGAGGAGAUUUUUGGGGAUUAUGUUGUUAAUGCCACAACAGACACCAUAUAAAUCCUCAGAAACACACUUGAUGUUGAAACUGGUAAAUGUACAGCAUUAAUGCAUUUUUACACUUAAUACAGCAGCAAAAAGCCACCAACUCAGCCCUGUUCGAUUCCUCCCACUUUACCUCAGUAUUGCUUAUAACUUUAACUCCAAAUGCAGAUUUCUUGAGUCAAUUAGAGAAACACUAAAGGAUAAAAGGCUACAACUCAGAGAGGCACUUGCACUUAAUUGAUCGUUGUCUGAACAAUGCCAACGCACAGUGAUGUACAAGCUUCUGUUUAAUUACAAGCAUUGUGGAGGCGGGAUUGUAUCAGAGUUCAUGGAGAUUUACUUAAUUUAAAAGGACAUGGCACAUAGAAGCUUGUCUGGGAGAGAAACAAGAUGUGAAAAUCUGCAAAUACCUGGAGAAAACGACCAAGUGACCUGGCAACACUAAUUCUAAAGAUUCUGAGAAUGUGUCCAAGUCAGGCGAGACAAGCACAGUUAAAACGCCAGCAAACAAUUUGGUAGAAGUUUUGGCGCUGUGGGCAGGUGCAAAGUUCUGUUGAUAAAGGAAACAAGCAUCUCUGUGAAGCUUGGCUGCAAUUUGCAUUUCUGUACCACAUCCUGCAGUGAGUCCAACCAUGGAGCCAGCUUUUUACCACUUUCGAACUUCAGCCGUUGCCUUGGGUGGGAUGUAUACAAGUAUUGGUAUAAUAUGACAUGUAUGUCUUUUAACGUAAAUUCUUACAUGCAAAUGGGAUCUGGUUCCACUCUGAGCCAAGCCGAUGACAAAUCAUCACCAUGGACGACCAAUUACUUGUUUAAAAGGGUGCCUCUACAAGACUGUAUUGAAAACAGCAUAUUGUUAGGUAGGCGGGGAACACUUUGAAAUGCUUUAAGUGCAUAUAGGUUUUCAAAAGCAGAGGAAAAUAAGGUUUCAGCUCUUUAUAGCAAAGUGGCUUUUUCAUGCAACUGGAAUAAUAGCUUGGUCAAACAGAGGUGGCGUUCUGGUUCAGCCUAAAAGACAUCCUCAGGCUGCAUCUUGAGGGACUAAAACUUCAGGUUCAGGUGCGCUAAAGCUGGAAAAGAGUUAUAUCUGUUCUGAAAGGCCAGGUGAGAAGGUGGGGUUAAAAGUCCAGAACUGAAUAAAGAGCAGCGAUAGAUUUUAAUUCAAGUUUGCAGUCUCUGAGAUCCAGUCAAUUCCUGCAUGAAGUGGGAGCAAAUGUCACUCCGUUGGCUUUGAUUACUGUGCGACAUUUAAAAAGUUAGAAAACACCGUCCUGUUUUGACCAAGCCUCGUUCAGACCAUUACAGGCCGGGAAUGUUUCUUCAUCUGUUGAUUCCAAGCCUGAAGGUCAUGACCAGGACAAGAAAUGUAAAUCUGGUGGUCGUUUAUUGGUAGAAUACAGUAAAAUAGGGCAAAGCUUCACCAAAAUGCUUGAUGAGUGGAUUAAACCGUUCAACCGACCCUUCAGCAAUCAACCAGAGCGCAAAUAUUCAAUAAUUCUGUUGCUUUUUCCUCAAAUCAUGAUUCAGCACAGCACCAUAAGUUUGCACAUCUUGACACUGUACUUAAUCCUCAAUUAAAAUGUAUCAUCAUUCCAGUAUACAUCCGAAUGCAAGAAAGAAAGAAAUUGUUUAGCCCUGGAACAACCCCAGCCUGAUGAAACCUCGGCGCUCCAAAGCAAAGCAGAUCAGAAAAUGACAUCUCCCUAUUCAGAUUGACUGAUUCCUGCCGAGGCUUGCGCGCAGAAAGCGCACGCUCCGGGCUGCUCAUACAGAAGGCUAACCACACGUAGAUAAGGCCGAACCCGACUGGUGACACGCCUGGCUUGGAAAAGGGGAGGAAGAAAGCAAAUCACUCAGGACAAUCUAUUCCCUCCGCUGCCAGUCACUUCACUGCCGUCAAUUCAAUACCGGCUGCUCCAGAGCGACACAGUGGCCUCUGAAUACCAUUUCCAUAUCAUUAUUCCUACAUAAAUGGCAGACCGCUUGCUGUUUCAUCAACCUUUUGGACCACAUGCUGGUAAAUAAAUAAACAAAGUUCUCAGGUGUAUAUAUGGAAAGGGUGAGGAGAAGCUAAUGGGAUGGAGAGGCCCGCAAAUAGGGACCAGGAAGUGCUUUGUAGCUGUGGCUGGCUUUAUUGUCGGACGGGUUGACCCCCAGUUGAAUGAACAUUUGUCAUUGGGGAAGGGGGGGCGGUUUUCUCUUUGUAGGUUUGCGCAGGUGGACGGACUAAAUGGGUGCAAAAAUGCAAUUCUCUUGGGGGAAUGAGGGUCUUUUCAAGUCCAGGACUGGCAUGUUUGUCUUGUUUAUUAAAAGAUAAAUAUUAUAGAAAAUGAGUGUUUGUGCACUAAACAACCAUGAGUGGAACAGUUGCUGUGGUUACCAAUAAGACUUUUCUUGUUGGUCCAUGCCCAGAAUGAAAAAAUGCCCCAUCUAUAGCUCGUUGUACACUUCAGCUAUUGUACAAGCAGCUAUGUAAUCUACUAGGAAUAAACAACAACCUGAACCUGAACGACCUGGAAAUAUUUUGUUUUAUAAAUGUUCCGUUUUUUAGUAAAGUUAAAGCUCCUGUGUGGAACUUUCAGACAGAUGCCCCCUGUGGCCACUUUUGUCCUCUACCUCCUUAAAUUGCAUCUUGACAAAAAAAAAAAAAGAUCCAAAUUACUGGCUUCUAAAAGUCAAAUGUGAAUGUUUUAUGUGGGAUUUAUAAAUAAAUAAAUAAUAAAAAAAAAAAGGGGUUGCUCAACACCUGCCCCCUUACACCGCUUUCAGGUAUUAAAAAUUGUGACUUAAAUUUCGUCAGUCUUGUCACUGAUGGUGUUGUUUGCUUUCAUUUAUCAUAAAAAGGCAUUAUUUAGAAUUUUAGUCAAUUUCUCAAAUGUCAAAAACAAAAAAAAAACAAACAAACAAAAAAAAAAAAACAGGGCUCGGUCAACACCUGCCCCCUUUACACUAGUUUCAGGCAUUGAAAAUUAUGCCCCCUGUGGCCAAUCUUGUCCUCUGCAUCGUUAAAAUGGCAUCUUGACAAAAAAUAAAUAAAUUAACUGGCUUUUAAAAGUGAAAUGUGAAUGUUUUAUGUGGGAUUUAAAAAACAAAACAAAAACAAAAAAAUACAAUAAUAAUAAUAUUAAUAAUGAUAAUAAUAAUAAUAAUAAUAAUAAUAAUAAUAAUAAUAAUAAUAAAAAGGGCUUGGUCGACACCUGCCCCCCUUACACUGCUUUCAGGCAUUAAAAAUUCUGACUUAAAUUUCGUCGGUCUUGUCACUGUUGGUGUUACAGCUGUAGCUGUAAACCAAAAUAAAGGAAGUGUUCUUCAAUUGAGCUGUUUUCUGCUACAGUUAAAGCCCCAGUGCUGUUCUCAUUUCAAAAGGUCCUGAACCACUGGUUUAGACACGACCCAUCCCCCAGCUCUCCAAGCUUCCAGUGUGAGGCUUACUAACUAAUGGCCACAAGUUAACAUCUGUCCAUCAGGGAGAGUUUCCAGAGGAGUUAAAAACAGUCCUGGAUCUAUUACAGAUGAACUGCAGUGCCGACUGUAAUUAUAUCACAGUUCCAUUUGGCGUGUCUCUAAGCACGUCUUAUUAUUCUUGGUAUUAAAUAUUACAGUAUUUCUAUCAGAAGUUUGGACUGUGAUAAAGUUCCUGAGCCUUAAACACAAAGUUCACUUUCAAAAGUCUGCCCCUUAUCAAGACCAGCGUCUUUCUGCUGCAGCCGCCCUCCCGCUGUGAAGUUAAAAGCAUUCACAUUUCACCGCCACGCUGGUGUGACAGAUGCUUUUAUCAACCUAAAUGCUCUUUUCGGUGUCUUAACAUAUAAUUUGAGAAUAAACCGCCACUCUCGUCUGUCAUUCAUGGCGGACGCUUGUAACAACAUAGUCCCACAACUCGGCCCCUUUAAUUAGACCGGAGCCGGCGAAGAAGUCUGUGUGGGAGACGUUUUACAUGGAGGUUAUAUUUUUUUCUUUUUCAGCACAGCAAGACAUUAAGUUUUUUUUGAAUCACCCGAGUUGACCUGCCGCCUGCCAAAUUGAAUUUUUAAGUUCAAAAGCACAGGGGAAUUUGUACUCAUGGUGACUAAAGUUAAAAAAUGUAUCUUUUGUGCUUCACUCUUUUGGUGCUUCUGUGAUACAAAGGUUAGAGUUCUUGAGAUAAAAGUAGUAAAAAUCAAAGCUUUUAAUGCAUGUCUCAUUUGCUUUAAAAGUGUGACUUGACUUUGUUGCUUUUGCAGCUUGUUUAACAAGUAAAAAGUCAUAUGCGCUAUGUUUCAAACAUAAAUAAAUACUGACGUUCUUUGAGAUUAAGGGAUUUUAGACAUGCGAUUAAAAUUGCGAUUAAUCGCGAUUAAAUGUCGAAAUUAUGCGAUUAAUUGUGAUAAAAAAUGUCAAAUAUAAACAUCCUCAUCCUUUAAUGCAUGUCUCAUUUGCUAUAAAAUUGUGACUUGGCUCGGUUGCUUUGGCAGCUUGUUUAACAAGUUAGCACAAUGUGUCAAAUAUAAAUAAGAUUAACCAUGGUGGUUAAUCGCGAUUAACCAUCAAAAUUAUGCGAUUAAUUGUGAUAAAAAAUGUAAAAUAUGAACAUCCUCAAAUGAUUAUUUAGAUAUCUAGUUUAAACAUUUUUAUAUACAUUUACAAAAGCCAAAGAUUAAAGUAGUUUUCUCUAUCUAAUGCAGAGACAGGAAGCUGCUUUGACACUCUGCGGGAGCCGCUCACAGCACUCAUACAAACAGCCUCAUACAGAGAUGUGUUUGUCAGCGGCAGACCGUGAAAAGUUCAGCUGUUGUUGAUGUUUUUCUCCUGACAAACUUGUUGAUCGCUCGGUGUUUUCCAGGUACCUUCACCCUGAUUGAAGCUGCUUUCACUCCGGGGACAUGAUGUGAUGCAUGUGAACAUUUUGAGCCCAUUUAGGAACUUCAGCGUCAUUUACCAAUACAUAACCUAAUGUAGAUUAUUCUGAGCCAACGGAGCAGAUAAGUGAUCCGCCGGACUACAGGUUUCUGCGAGGUUAGAUUCAUCACACGACCAAACUGCAACACAGCAAUGUGCUUAGUCAGUAUUAAGGGUAGACGAUAGAUUGUGUUUGUGUAUUGGCAUGAUCUCCCUCUCCAUCAUCAUCUUUACUUUGCUUGUAAACACACACACACACAUACACAACUACACACAAACACCCCCUCAGUAACACUCCAUCCUGGCAGUCAUUAGAGUCCCAUGAGCUCUUUUGCUUGUAGCACCUCAGUCCCGUAGAUCUCUGCUGCCAAUAAUCGUUAUAAUUGAUGAUUUCCUUCUAAGCCUCUAAUGAUGUUUCUAGUAUUUAUGGUUACACAAAGCCAGGCGAGCUGAUUCAUAAUAGUUUCUUCCUGCCGCUUUAUUGGCAUGGCGUUUCUCACAUUCUCAUCACUAAAUUAAUUUUGACCUGGCGAUGCCGUAGAUCACUUUAAACCGCUGCGCGCCGUCUCACUGUGACCAGGUUUUCUUAAGCUGUUGUCGUAAAGAAUGGUUUAUCGACCCUUCCUGCUGACGCUUUAAUAAGUGCUUUGCAUAACAAGUGUUUUACUGCAAGAUAAAUCACAUGGGCUGGCGGCGGGCUGUCAAAUACACAAGUGCACACAUGUGUAGACAUAAAGCAAGGCAGUGCUCAAAAGUGGGCACCGGUAUUUACUGAUUAAACUCUGUUAAAUCUAUAAAAAAGGCAGUGAGAUUUAAAGCUCCUGUAAGGGAUUUUAGUUGAAACAGAGAAACGUGGAUAAAAGUUGUCCUCAUUUAAAUUCAUAGCCAGCAGGACCGAGGGAGGCAUUUUCGCCAUCAUAUUGCAUAAGUCAGGUGCAAAUAUGACUGGACCCCAAAAAAUUCUAACAAAGGUUUCUCACCUGUUUUUCAUUGUAUUAGAUGUCCUUAAUAACAUACUAAAAGUUCACCAAAGUUCGACUGCUAGAAAGGUGUCACUUUCACGAUUGCGUCCAUGAACUUAUUCCACGUCACUGUGGAGUCCGUCUGAGUAUGUUAUUGAGGACAUCUUAUACAAUAAAAAAAAACAGUUGAGAAACCUUUUAUUAGAACUUUUUUGGGGUUAGAUGUUUUUUUUUUCAUAAAUGCACCCGCCUACAUCACCUCUUCUUCAAACGGUGCUCUAUAAAUGUCCGGGAACCAACUAGACCAGUUUCUGGAGUUUCAAAAGUGAAAUGUUGUCCCACUCUUACCUGAAGUAGGAUUUCAGUCGCCCAAUAGUCAUUGUUGUUGUAUGUUUUUGUGCACUUAUACAUCCCAUCAUCCAUCACGGAGGCCGGGUUUUGGACUGUGCGGGCCCUGUACCGAUUUCAAAGGGAGGACGCUCACAGAUGAUGGUUUUUGGGAGUGAUUGUAAGGCCAUGCGGCACUUUCCACUACAGAGUCACGUCUUUUUCAAUGCAGUGUUGCCUGGAGGCUGAAGAUCUGAGGGAAAAAUGUCUGAUUGAUUGUUAUGGACGGAGCUAGGGGACCUUAAUUAAGGCAGGAGCACCAGUGACCCAAACAACAAGAAUAACAACAGGGCAAAAAAAGAGCAACAGGCCUUAUUUAUUAGUUGAAAAAAUGAGAUGACUGAAGAUGAGCUCUCGCCGAGGUGCAUAUUGAUCCGUCGAGAAGAAUGUUAGGCAUAUAUAAUAAAAACACAUCAACUUUCAUCCCUUUAAAUGAUGACCUGCCUGUUGUGAGCAUGCUAGCCAACAGCAGCAGAUCUGUUAGGAACAGGAGGAAUUCAAUCAGGGAGAUCCAUGGACCCGAGCGGAGGCCCCUGAGUGAGAUCGAUGGCCUGAGAGGCAGGUUGCGAAGGGGUCAGCUCCCCUGGUGCGGCGUUUUAUCUCCGUCCUGUUGCCACUCCUGUUUAGGAACGUUGUUGCCGGGGAGGGUGGGGGGGGACUGGAAGCAGUGUUGCAUCCUGGUCCCAGAGGCAGCCCAGGCCUACCACAAUAAUAUCAUUUUAUGUCAGCCAUGAGUGAAAGUUUCCCCAACUUGGGGCGGGCUGAUUGAUGGCUGUUGUAAAUCAGGGCUGAGAGUGCUGCAUGGGGUUUUAUAGUGCGGGGAAAUGAUGCAGGUUGUAUACAACUCUCCUUAACACCUCCACGCUUUAAACCCAGUGACUGUCCAAGAAAUGUGCGCUUUUUAGAGUACUACACCCACCCGAACUGCAGGAAAGAAUUUGCAAUGGUAAACAUUCAAACACUACAAAAUAUCCCUUUGUACAAUAUUAACAUAAUUCGAGUCAUUAUGUCCCAGACUGAAUUACCAACAUGGCAAAUCACACUGCUGCUCUAGGGACCAGAAAGCUCCGGGCACUCUUCAUGUGAAUUAGUUUCUGUAAUAUGAUUGAUUGCUUAUUUGUUAGAGAGUUUGCAGCACUGGAGUACAACUAAUAGAGGCUUGGCACCGGGAGAUCAUUUCGCAGCAGUCUUGUCCAGAGGCCCUGUGUCAGAAUCCAGUUUAAAGGAGCUCCUCUGUUGUAAUUUUUUGUUCAUUUUUUUCGUGUUAGAGGUUUUGUUUUAUCACGCUACCAAAGUAAAGUACAAAUGAACCAGGAGUAAUGAUUGCUCCAGGAAAAAUGGACGUAAUGAAGUAACUAGGAGCUUACGGUUUGCACAGAGGUUGGUAAAUUGGGGUCAGUUUUGGGGGUAAACCUGUACUUUUUUCACUGGGGUAGUCCAAUUACCAUUAAAAUACUUAAUUUAUGCUUCGUGUCUAUAAUUGCUUUUACAGGAAAACAGAGUGGUAGCAUAUGAACCUUAAAAAGUAUCAAAAAUUUGCUCAAUUAGUCAGUUUAAUUGGACCAAUAUCCUCGAGCCCCAGAUGACCUGGUCACACGCCUCCUUUACAGCUUGUUACUGGCCUUUAACCAAAGCAAUCAGGUGUUAAUCUGACUUUGACAUCUUUGACCUAAUGGGAUUUCAUGUAGACUGGCAUGUUGUGUAUAUUCAAGUCUAGUUUCCAUUGGACUGGCACAAUAUAUCCAUAUUUUUUGACAGUUUGUCUCCGUUUGGUAGUUUGCUUGUGUUUUUUGAUGGACUAAUUCAUAACAAGUCUCAGAAACUUCAGAGAACAAAAGUCUUUUAAAUAAAUGAGCAAAAUAGCCAGGAACAAUGUAAGAUUUUUGGGGUGGCCAAUUAGAAGGAGGGCAAUGCCACCCCUGGCCUUCACUCUGGACACACCCCUGGUCAGUUUGGGCCUGAUAGUUUAUUUUACUCUGAGAAAUCUGCCCCUGGAAAAGUUAUCAUCACAGAGCAGUUACCUGAAAAUAUCUCUACGCCCUUUAUUCGGUAUAUGUGCAGAAAGAUGGAGGAAAUCAAUCAUUUUGGUCGAGCAGUGUGUCUAAUGUACAUGAUGAAGACUCAGCGAAUCUGCUCUCUAGCCAAGAAAUGAGGGGAUCUCCAGAGUCUGAAUUGAUUUUUGAAGUUGGCGCCGAAUGAGUAUAUUCCAACAGAAUGAAUUUAUUGCCAUCUUGAACCAAGACAUCUGGUCUCACCAAUUUAUAACCUUGGACCCAGAUUGAGUUCAGGCAAGACUGAACAAAUAUUAGUGCCAAAAUAGAGAGGGAUGCCAAGGCCUGGAUGGUGGAUCAGCACUUUGGACUUGCGUACAGCGCCUUAAAUUAAUUUUUCAACAAACUCCCAGCGUAAACUUUCACACUCCAAAUCCUUCUUUCCCCAAAGUGUUUCUGUUGCGAUCUAAUUCAGAUAUUAAACAACUUUCUGUAUUCUUGUUUUCCAUGCUUUUGAGUUGUUUCCUGCAGCGUCGUGACCACAGACAAGAACACUUAAGACGGUAAAUUCUGCAUCAAAGCAGUCUAUCUCAGCUCUUUAUUAUCCCUCCUCCUGCUUUCCAUUUCUAUUUAUCAUAUGUAUUUCCUCUGUGCACCAUAGGCUUUUUCAUCUGACCUUGUGUUGAGCCACAAAGAGCUUUCGGCUUCUUGCGCUGACAUUAAAAAAAGAGCCUGAAAUUUUUGUCCAAGUUUUGACGAACUGACUGACGUAAGAAGAAGACACAUUCAGGUCUGAGUGUCCUCCAAAAACUAGGGCAUAUAAUCUGAAAACAGGAACAUCGCCUUGAGAAGAAGAAGAAGCGCGACUUUCAUGGAUCAAUUCCCUGAAGUGAGAUCGACAGCAGGAUCAUGAUUCACAGUGCCGGUCUUGCUUUUCAACAACACAACACCAUACAUGUACCAUCAUGUACCCCUGUAACAACACAAUACCUUUCAGAGCGUAUUUGCACUCGAGUUAAAGGUUUGGAGGAAAUAUUGCUUGUUAGAGUUCAUCCUGAAAGCAAAAGCGGAGCAGCACUGCGUCAUACAUACAGGGUAAAUGGAAAACUGAGCUCAAUAUAUGCUUGACGGGGUCACACAAGAGAGUACUUAUGAGAAAUGUGCGUCUGGUUUUCGAGUAGAGCUGCAGCAGCCAUCUAUUAUGGAGUUUCUAUAGAUAUUAUUGAAGGUUGAGUCAUGGAUGUAAACGGUACAAUGAGAGAACAUAUGGAAACUUUUCAUCAUACGUUUGACCAUCGGAUAGGAACUAAAGCUUGAACUUCGCCAAAAGUUCAGAAAAAAUGACCUUACAAAGAGCAACAUUAGUCACAGCAAGAGCCCUAGCAAGAGUGAGGUACUGAGUUUGUUCAAUUUGGAAUUUAGUUAUUAUUAAAAGUCAUUUUCGAUAUUCUAUUGUGUCUGUAAGCAACUUGAACGUAAACAGCAGUUAUUUCCCUUAACAACUUGGAAAAGUCGACGAAGCUGACAGAACACUUUUUCAUUUGUAAUUUAUGUAAGAUGUGGUGAUUUUUGACAAUUUUUACUUUUUUAUCGCCUAAAACGUGGGCGCCAUUAAUCUUAAUGGUCCUAACCCUGACUAAUCUACCAGUAUAUAAUGUAUAAAAGGGUUUUUUUGUAAUUGUAAUGCUGUAGUUUACCCAGAAGAUGGCGCCAAACUAGCCAAAGCUUCAUCACACACGUCCACCAUCAUGACUGCGACGAUCACCCCACAAACUUUGUAAAGCGCUGUUAAAACUGAUAAUGAGUUGAGCUCAAGUUUAUGCUAACUUCUGGGCAGCUGGCAGGAUUGGCAGCUUAAAGGUGGGGUAGGCAGGAUCUGAGGAAGUUCCAGUUUUUGGGAGAAAUCUUGAACAUAAACACUACCCCUUCAACAGACGACCAGCAAACACAAUGUUUGCAGGACUUCUACAACGAGGAUAAAGUGACAUAGUCCAGGACCCGAGGGAGACAGUUACGCGGCGCUACAACACGCAGCAGGUCCAGUUUGACAAGAAACACUUCUGUUACAGACACUUGUCUUACUUUGUUAAAGCGGUUUACCUGUCCAGCAGAAAGGUUACAGGGUCCGUAAGAUCCCAAAGCAUCUCCCAUCAUUGUUGACCCGGCUUUUUUAGCUCUUGUCCAGGUGGCCUCCCUCCUUUUUAAGCGCCCGUUAUUCCGCCAGAGUCUCCGGUAUUUCUCUUCCUUUUCCUUUUACUUCCUUUUCUUGCUUGUGUCGGCAGUCGUGGCCAAAGGAGGAUUCAGACAAUUUUCCGAACUUUCUGGUUGGUUUCUACUCUCCGAUAUUGUAGCACGCUAACUUUGUUUGGACUCCUGAACGACACGGGGAGCAGCAUCCGCCUCACAACCAAUCAGGUUGGGGAGGCGGAGAAUGGCUUUGUUUACAGUCAGAAAAAGCGCUCAAAAAAUUUAAAAUGUUGAUUACACAGAGAUAACAAAACACAGCGAUAUCGUUAUAUUACCAAAUGUCAUCAAUAACUAAUAGCUAUUGACUGAUAUUAAAAUCUUUUUUGUAUAUACACCACAAAAAAAGAUGCUUCUUUAACGGAUUCCUGCCUACCCCACCUUUAAGAAGGUACUAGAUAGAGCUUCUUGCAUGAUGAGGACUAAGCCAGUUCUUUCUUUUCCUUGACCAACAAGCCGUAUCUCAUAUUAACACUCAUGAAUACUCCAGAUUUGAUAGGACUUAAAUUAAUUAUUCGUAGUAUUUUCCACUAUGUUUAAAGAGUGGACAUGUGUCCUAUCUGUUGCUGUUUCAAUAAAGCGAGCAACUCCUUGUACAUAAGGCUAAUUAGCAGCAACAUGAUUUUGCUUUGUUACCUCACACAGAUUACUCCUGUCAUUGUUUGGUGGUGGGCGUUUGCUGAGUGUAAAAAUACAUAUUUCAUAAUGAAAGUGAUAACAGAGUCGUAUUCCUCUCAUCUCUGGCUUUAAAACAAGUGAUCAAAAGUUCUUGUUUUUAUUCAAAGUGCUUCUUGCUCUUUUUUUUUCUCCUUUUGAAGACACGACUGCCUGCCUAAAGUGACUGGUAAGUCUGCUAAAAACACACAAACACACACACACACACACACUCGGUCUUUUAUUUCCAGAGCUAUUUUUGCAUCUUUAUUUUUCGUCUUGUACUUCUUGUCA